AAACCAACCGGGAUUGCCUUAGUAACGGCGAGUGAAGCGGCAAAAGCUCAAAUUUGAAAUCUGGUACCUUCGGUGCCCGAGUUGUAAUUUGGAGAGGGCAACUUUGGGGCCGUUCCUUGUCUAUGUUCCUUGGAACAGGACGUCAUAGAGGGUGAGAAUCCCGUGUGGCGAGGAGUGCGGUUCUUUGUAAAGUGCCUUCGAAGAGUCGAGUUGUUUGGGAAUGCAGCUCUAAGUGGGUGGUAAAUUCCAUCUAAAGCUAAAUAUUGGCGAGAGACCGAUAGCGAACAAGUACAGUGAUGGAAAGAUGAAAAGAACUUUGAAAAGAGAGUGAAAAAGUACGUGAAAUUGUUGAAAGGGAAGGGCAUUUGAUCAGACAUGGUGUUUUGUGCCCUCUGCUCCUUGUGGGUAGGGGAAUCUCGCAUUUCACUGGGCCAGCAUCAGUUUUGGUGGCAGGAUAAAUCCAUAGGAAUGUAGCUUGCCUCGGUAAGUAUUAUAGCCUGUGGAAUACUGCC
rnacentral:rRNA from 1 species